GCCGGUGUGGCGGAAUGGCAGACGCGCUCGACUCAAAAUCGAGUGGAGAGAUCCGUGGAGGUUCGAGUCCUCUCACCGGUA
rnacentral:tRNA from 1 species